UGGGGAAUAUUGCACAAUGGGGGAAACCCUGAUGCAGCGACGCCGCGUGAUUUAGAAGGCCUUCGGGUUGUAAAAAUCUUUUGUAUGGGAAGAAAAUGACAGUACCAUACGAAUAAGGACCGGCUAAUUACGUGCCAGCAGCCGCGGUAAUACGUAAGGUCCGAGCGUUGUCCGGAAUUAUUGGGCGUAAAGAGCUCGUAGGCGGUUUGUCGCGUCUGCUGUGAAAGACCGGGGCUUAACUCCGGGGCUGCAGUGGGUACGGGCAGGCUGGAGUGCGGUAGGGGUAACCGGAAUUCCUGGUGUAGCGGUGGAAUGCGCAGAUAUCAGGAGGAACACCGAUGGCGAAGGCAGGUUACUGGGCCGUUACUGACGCUGAGGAGCGAAAGCAUGGGGAGCGAACAGG
rnacentral:rRNA from 1 species